rnacentral:tRNA from 2 species
GCCGAUGUGGCUCAGGGGUAGAGCGGCGCACUCGUAAUGCGUAGGUCGGGGGUUCAAAUCCCCCCAUCGGCU